GGCUGGCUGGCUGGAUUUGGCAGCUGUGACUUAAAAAGGAAAGGGGAGGAAAUAAAAGCCCCCCCUCCUUCCCUCCCCUCCGCGACUGAAUUGAGAAAGAGGGAGGGAGAGAGAGAGAGAGACAGAAAGAGAAGAUAAAAUCUCACAAAACUUGGCACCGAGUCCCUUCCACUCAACAGCCAACAUAAAUCAGGAGAGAGAUGACAUGAUACGGGCGGCGAGCGAGUCAUUUGUGGAGGCAGAUUGGCGAGGGAGUCAUGGAGUCAAGAAGCAGCCGACUCGGGAGCUCCAUGCCGGAGUUUCCAUCAUCCCAACGACGGGGCUUGAACAGGGACCGUCAGCAACAGUCCCGAUCAAAGGCCCCGACCACCACGGGUGAAGAAAGGAGGAAGAUGACUGAACUUCAUUGCCUUCCAUCACAGUGAGGAAUGGGGAUUCCACUGUGGUGGAUGUUUAUGUUACACAUUAUAUUAUGUGCUGUGUGUAUUUUUGCUUUUUACUUAGUAUGGCUGGAUGGUGACUCAAACAUCCCUGCACCUUAAUUGGUACAUGUGCCAAUAAAAUUGAAUCUUGAAUCU